UACGGGGGGGGCAAGCGUUGUUCGGAAUUACUGGGCGUAAAGAGCGCGCAGGCGGUCGUUCAAGUCGAGUGUGAAAGCCCCCGGCUCAACUGGGGAGGGUCACUCGAUACUGAUCGACUUGAAGGCAGGAGAGGGAAGCGGAAUUCCCGGUGUAGUGGUGAAAUGCGUAGAGAUGUGGAGGAACACCAGUGGCGAAGGCGACUCUUUGGCCUGUAACUGACGCUGAGGCGCGAAAGCGUGGGGAGCAAACAGG
rnacentral:rRNA from 1 species